UGUAUAAUGGGUCAGCGACUUAUAUUCUGUAGCAAGGUUAACCGAAUAGGGGAGCCGAAGGGAAACCGAGUCUUAACUGGGCGUUAAGUUGCAGGGUAUAGACCCGAAACCCGGUGAUCUAGCCAUGGGCAGGUUGAAGGUUGGGUAACACUAACUGGAGGACCGAACCGACUAAUGUUGAAAAAUUAGCGGAUGACUUGUGGCUGGGGGUGAAAGGCCAAUCAAACCGGGAGAUAGCUGGUUCUCCCCGAAAGCUAUUUAGGUAGCGCCUCGUGAAUUCAUCUCCGGGGGUAGAGCACUGUUUCGGCAAG
rnacentral:rRNA from 1 species